ensembl:snRNA U6 U6 spliceosomal RNA
CCUGCUUUGGCAGGGAUGGGAAUGCUACAGAGAAGAUCAGCAUGGCUCCUGUGCAAAGAUGACACUCAAAUUCAUGGAGUGUUCCAUAUUUAA